UACGUAGGGGGCUAGCGUUGUCCGGAAUCAUUGGGCGUAAGGGCGUGUAGGCGGGCAGGUAGGUCCGCUGGUAAAACUCGAGGCUCAACCUCGAGAUGUCGGCGGAAACCAUCUGGCUAGAGUCCGGAAGAGGAGAGUGGAAUUCCUGGUGUAGCGGUGAAAUGCGCAGAUAUCAGGAAGAACACCCGUGGCGAAGGCGGCUCUCUGGGACGGUACUGACGCUGAGACGCGAAAGCGUGGGGAGCGAACAGG
rnacentral:rRNA from 1 species